rnacentral:rRNA from 1 species
UACGAAGGGUGCAAGCGUUAAUCGGAAUUACUGGGCGUAAAGCGUGCGUAGGCGGUUUGUUAAGUCUGUUGUGAAAUCCCCGGGCUCAACCUGGGAAUGGCAAUGGAUACUGGCAGGCUAGAGUGUGUCAGAGGAUGGUGGAAUUCCCGGUGUAGCGGUGAAAUGCGCAGAUAUCAGGAAGAACACCCGUGGCUAAGGCGGUUCUCUAGUACGGUACUGACGCUGAGACGCGAAAGCGUGGGGAGCGAACAGG